AUGCCUUUCACUGAGAGAAGGAGUGCUCUCCCUGAUCAGCUUCACCUGGACCUCAUUUGUUCUGUUCUGGACUCUGUCCAGGCUCCUGCAGACACCUUCAGUGGAGGAAUCAAACUGGAUGUUGGCAGUGACACCCAGCCCACCCUCACGGUCCUGCCCCCCUCCAGCGUGGAGCUGCAGCAGGGGAAAGCCACACUCAUGUGUCUGGCCAACAAGGGCUUCCCCUCAGACUGGAAGCUGAACUGGAAGGUGGAUGGUAAGAGUUGGAGUUCAGGGGUGAGCUCCAGCCCUGGGGUUUUACAGAAGGACGGUCUCUACAGCUGGAGCAGCACCCUCACCCUCCAGGAGGAGCAGUGGAGUAAGAUGUCAGUGACCUGUGAGGCCACACAGGGCUCCCAGUCUGCAGUGACCCAGACACUGAGGAAAGACCAGUGUUCUGAGUAG